AACGUAGACAUGGUCGACGCUGGUCAAAGUGUAAUAUCUGUUCUUAUGAACUUAAUAUCUAAUACGGGUUGUGUUUGGACCCCAGGUAAUGAACUUAUUUUUGCAAGUUGGCGGAGCGCUUGCAGCCUGCUUCAUUUCCGAGGAUCAGUCCGGUAUUGAACUAUCUUCGGGAUCGACCCACGAUUU